rnacentral:misc_RNA from 1 species
AACAUCGCGCACCUGCGGGAACCUGCGGAGGGAUCAUUACUGAGUCACGUGCUCAAACAACCCUUCUGUGGACCUGAAAUAAAGCCGUUGCCUCGGCGGGCGGUCCCCCCCAAACCAACCCCACGUGGUGGGUUAGGGGAGACCAGACAGUCCGGUACGCUUAAGGCGUCCGGCGCCAGCCGCUGGCCCCAAACAAUUAAACUCUAGUAAUCUUUACCUUCUGAGUUUCAAUAUUUAAAA